UUUUAGAAUUUAAUUUAAAGUCUAACCUGCCCACUGAAUUUUUUUUAAAUGGCCGCAGUAUUUUAACUGUGCAAAGGUAGCAUAAUCAUUAGUCUUUUAAUUGAAGGCUGGAAUGAAUGGUUGAAUGAAAUAUUAACUGUUUCAUAAAAAUUAAAAUUAAAAUUUUAUUUUUUAGUUAAAAAGCUAAAAUAAAAUUAAAAGACGAGAAGACCCUAUAAAUCUUUAUAUUUUAAAUAUUUUAAUUAUAUAGAUAAAUUAAAUUAUAAUUGAAAAAAUAUUUUAUUGGGGUGAUAUUAAAAUUUAAUAAACUUUUAAUUUAUAAUUAACAUUAAUUUAUGAUUUAUUGAUCCAUUUAUUAUGAUUAAAAAAUUAAGUUACUUUAGGGAUAACAGCGUAAUUUUUUUAGAGAGUUCAUAUUGAUAAAAA
rnacentral:rRNA from 1 species